UUCAGAAAGUCUCUAGACUUUACACAGUGUUUUGUUGUUUUUUUUUCCCUUUAACCAUCUUCACCUGUCCAGGUUCGGUGCGCCUCGUGCUCUUGGCCGACAGGAGCGGAAGCCGAUGUGGUCUUCUGCUGUUGUAGCUCGUCCGCUGCAAGGUUCUUUGCGUUCUGAGAUGCUUUUCUGCUCACCACGGAUGUAAAGAGUGGUUAUUUGAGUUACCGUAGCCUUCCUGUCAGCUCAAACAGAGACAGCAAUCAUGCCACGCUCAACAUCACUGAGAUCCAGACAAGGAUUAUAAUAAGGGCUAGGUCUGGGGCCUGAGCUCAGAGGGGGCCCCUGUUUGCCUGUGGUUCAUGUUAGCUCUGCGUGAUUGACAGGUAAGAAGUAGUGAUAUUGAAAUGACCUCUAGUACACUACUACUGAGCAUUUUAUUCACUAGCACUGUUAGUAAUAGCAGAAGAUGAUAUCUCAUUUAUUUGAUGGGCGGUUAAAUAUGAAAUCAUCAUGAUGACUUCCUAGACCUUUUUGAACAUCAUCACAGUGCAGCUCCUGUGCAAAACCAUGCUGUACAUACAGCUGAACAGUUUCUGGUAGACAUUUUUCCUAUAAACAUCAUAUUAUAGGCCUGCUGUAGUUUCAGAGCCUAGGUAACUGGUUUGAAGUGGUAGAACAGAUAGUAAUAUGUUUAAAAAAAAAUAAUAAUAGCUAGUUUACGCCCUUCAAGAGCUCACAAAAAUGCUGAUGUGGCCCUGCUUUUAAUGCACUUUUAUAACCAGUGCUUGUGAUGCUGUAAAUGUAAACAGUGUUGCUCUGAAUUCAUAUUUGUUUUUAAUAGACGUGUUUUCACAAUUCCAUGUUACGAAAGCUAAAGUGUAGGUUGCAGUGUUUCGAAACUUCUAAACAAUAUUAGCAAAUACAGCACGCAAUCACUGCACCCUUAAUACUGAUCUAGCAUCGUUCGAAUGCCAUAGUCUAUCCAAGUACUCUUGCUGACCAUAAUUAGCUACAAUUCACCUGUCUUUUAAUGGCUGCUUUCAGCAUGACAACAUGUUACACCUAUGAUGGUCAGAUCAGUUGAACCCAUGCUUCAACCCAUGAUUGCAAUGAUCUGACUCAGGUAAGGUUUCAUUUUGGUAGAGAGAUAAUUAAAAUCUUACAUAUAUUGAUUUGAAUGAAUGAAUGAAUGAAUGAAUGAAUGAACCACCUUUCACAUUUGUCACAAAAGAAAAUCUGGCCUCCUGACAAAAAUAUGAAAAACUUCAAUUUUUUAGUAGAUCAGUAAAAACCUAAAAUCUACAGGUAUUACCUGCUAUAAUUUGUUGGUUAAUUAGGUACACCUUCCAGAAACUGAAACCUAAAGCCCUAAAGGGCAAGAUGAUGACACUGUGUACUGAAAACGAUCAUCUUUAAUUUGCAGCGAAACAGUUACAGUAUGCCUGAUACAAGCCUGGUAAUGUGUAAGAUAUUACCGUAUCUGGCAUAAAAAAAAAAAAAAAAAAACCCAUGUUUCUCAAUAUGCGCUUGAGUACUUUCGCAUGUCCUUGUUUUCUCACUUGACAUCAUCUUUUAAUUUGCACCAUAUUAAGGAACACAAUGGGGAAAAAAACACCAUGGAAAGUCUUAGCAAAUGAAAUGUCUUGAGUAAAGGAACUGAUCUAAUAUUUCUCACGGUGACAUAAUGUAAUACCAUUAAGAUUAUUUCUAGAUAUAUUUACUAAUUUCAAGCAUAAAAAUGUCUUAGACGUGUCAGUUGAUGAAUCCAUCAUUUAUUGUGACGUCAACGUGACGGUGAAGGACUGAAACUCGGGUUCAAAUCAUCACCUAUCUUUUGUACCUGAUGAAGUCAUACCCUGAGGAAAGAAGCAAAAUUGGCUUUGCUCUCUGAGCGGGAGAGAUGGUAUUACUCACUCUCCUGUCAAUCACAGGAACACUAGCCAAUCAUGGGCAUCACUGAGUUCGUGUAUGUGGAAGAGGGCGGAUAGCACUUUCCUUUGAGUGUGUUAGAAAGAUGAUAAAAGAUGUUGAACGGCUUCACGUGUCUCGGAUGAAACACGUGAAAGCCUCACCCUCCCUGGUUAGUAGCUGUCAUAUGAUUGGGGAGAGCUGACUAGUGGAUGACCACAUUGAGGGGAAAAAUGGGGAAGAAUAAUUUUUAAAAUAUUAUAUUUAUUGACACGAACAACACAUAAUAUGAAUUCACAGAGACUAUCAGGUAUCACGCUCAUUUUAUUGUCAUAUGUUUCCAGCAUAUAGGUAUACACUUAGCAUAAAGUCUUUAUGAAAAUUGUGGAGAGACAAAAUACAAGACAGCCGCAUAAGGAGGAAGUUCACAUAAGUGAGAAGAAAAAAUAUUGCACAAGUUUGGGAUUGCAUAUAGAAUGAAUAGUGCAAAUUGUGCAAUUUGAUUUAAAAAAAAAAAAACGUGUAGCGCAAAUACUGAUGCAAAGAGGAAGCUCUUGUUUGACAGAACUAUCCCACUCUUAAAUAAUUUAUUAACUGAGACUAUAAACUGAAAGCUGAAUUAUUACUGUUAGAUGGUGUAGCUCUUUCUUUUAAUGCUGUAUUAAUAAACUGGCACAGAUGUUAUCCUGCUCAUCUUUAUAGACCACUGAAUCAUCUUCCUCUUCUUCCUGUAUGUGGUCUUGCUCCAUAUCCGAAAAGAAGUUCUGGAAGAUGUGAAAUAAAGAAAAAUAAAAUAACAGCUGCACAAUUUAAGAGCAAACAGAGGUUGAAUCUCCACACUUCAAAAAGCAGCAGCAGGAUUGAGCAUGCCAAAUGACUCAUCUGGCAUAGUAACCACUGAACCUGGCCUCAUACUGGUGGAACAUAAAAGGCCAUGCUGCCGUUUCUUUGCUUUAACUUUUUUAUUUUUUCACGUCCACAAAGUCUUUACAUGCAUUGGAAUGAUAAUAACACUUACACUAACACUACUACUACUACUACUACUAAUAAUAAUAAUAAUAAUAACAAUAAUAAUAAUAAUAAUAAUAAUAAUAAUAAUAGUCCUAAUUGCAAAUAACUAUCAAAAGGGGCAGUAAAAAAAAAAACCCAACAAAAAUUAUUCAAUUUAUAUGCAUAUUCAAUUUGACUUGUUUUACUGUUUCUUUAAACGCAAGUUAUCUGAAUUCUAAUAAAAUAAAAAUGACAAAUCACAGCAGUACUGAUGCUGGUAUUUUCACUGAGCACUUUGCUUUGAUUGCCAUCAUCAGUCAUGAAGUACAGAAUGUCCAAAGGUCAGUCCAGAAGUUUACAUUCACCUAAGCUAAAGAGAUUCAAACUCAAAUUUUCACAACUCCACACAUUUCUUGUGUUAAGUCAGUUAGUGUAUCUGCAUUAUUUCCAUUUCAAAAUAAUAGCAAAGAGACAGAUUUAUUUAAACUUUAUUUAUUAUAUGUUCAGGAUCAUUGUCCUGUGGAAGCCCCAGUUGCGUCCAAAAUUGUUGUGGUUAAUGUCUUUAGGUUUUACUUCAGUAUUUCUAGAUAAUCCUCCAUCAUCAUGAGGCCAACUUUUUUCUGAACUCCCCUACAGCAUGAUGCUCCCAACCCCAUGCUUCACAGUUGCGAUGGUGUUCUUCGGAUUAAAUCGUCACCCUUUUUCCUCCACACAGUGCUGAUAAUUACGGCCAAACCGUUAAAUGUUUGUUUCACCUGACCAGAGAACGCUCCUCUAAAAGGCUGGUGAUCACCUACGAACUUCAGUCUGGCCAAUCAGAAGCUUAUAAAAGUCAUUACAUCAAUUUCUGUAAUCUUUCAGACUGUUUAAAGAGACAGUCAGCUUGGUGUAUGUAAACUUUUGACCUCCUGGAUUUCUGAUAUAGAGAAUAAAAUCUGAAACAAGUCUGUUUCUAAUCGAUUGUGUUAAAAUGACCCCUAGUGUGAAUGAAGUGUUGUGUUGAUUUGUCAAAAGAUUCGCAUAGGUGUAUGUAAACUUUUUUUUUUAGUUUUUUGCCCAAACAGAACUAAUGUUGCAUGCACUGUAGCAAUGAACUGUUAAACGUGCUUGGAUUUUAGAGAAACAACCCCUAAGAAGCCAACGGCUGGAAAAGGAAGUGCUUCACUUUGUGCAGAGUGAGCGAACAAUUGAGGUUUUUUUUUCUCCAAAGGAUUAUGUAUGAGACUGUACACGCAAAAUGCUGUUGUCUGUAGAGCCUGAUGUGAAAUCUCCAGUGACUCCCUUACCACGUGUGCUCAACCUAACCUUUGGUCUUUCUAUGAUGAAUGCCGCCUCCAGGUCCCGUAUCACUACAACCACGCUAGUGAAUGCCUUAUUCAGCUUCCUGGUGUGUUAUCAGUUUGAGCAAGCUUGGGUCAGAAUAUAUAUGAUGUUGCACAAUAACAGGGGGCAGAUGGUAACUUUGCACAAACAAUCUCAUAAGAAUGUGAGAAUGGAGAGCAUAAAUAUGAGCAUUUUGUGUACUUGCUUUGGUUCAAUAACCAGCGUAAUCCCUUACGAGGCACGUUUGUACAAUGCAAAAUAUAUAACUGUAGUCUGAUAUGACUCUUUAUCUGUAACUAUAUUACUACAGUAAAAGCUAAAGUUAAAUUGUUACUUGUAAAAAAAAAAACUGAGCAAGGCAAUACUAUAUUUCUGAGAGCAUUUGAGUAACUGCAAAGUACAAACCUAAGUAAGAAAAGCAAAGAAGGUGCUACAUUUCAUUGUUAAGAUGUAACAGAUUACUAUGCUCAUAGAGUUAGCUAAGUAGCCCAUUAACACUUAUAAUCGUUUAUUUAACAAUUCUGCACUUUUUACCUAUUUACAUUGUUAUAAUAUUGUCUGUGUGAUCAGUUGUAGUAGAGAUGCAAGAUCUUAAGGCAUGGUUUUAGACUCACUCAUUUAAAAAUAUUUCUUUAGGCUUGAUGGUUAACCAAGUUACCAUGGUGAAGGUAAGAAUGUUAAAAAGAAUCUUGUACAAGACACUAGGAUUCCCAAAUGCAAAUGUAAUUGAACGUGAAAUACUACUUUAAUACCACAUUCGUUGUAGUUAAGCCUUAAGAAAUUGUUCUAGAAACAGUUCUAGAGAGUGCUGAGGUGCGGUGGUUGAAAGUGUUCAGGGGGCGGGACAAUUUAUGUUGCUUCAGUAGACUGAUAUCAUGCCUAGCCUAUACAAAAAGCAUCAGAUGUCUAUAUAAACAUUAAAAAAAAUUAAAAGUCUUUGUCAAUUCUCAAAUCUCAGGCUGUGGCAUUAGGUUUAAACAGUAUCUUUAAUCGAGAACAGUGAGCGUGGAACAGUGUAGCGAGCUUAGAGAGAAACUGACGAGAGCAUUUCAGUUCUGCGAGCACUGAGACACUUCCUUUCCCAGCCUUCUCCAAGGUCUACACUUUCCUCUCAAGUCAAGGUGCAAGUCACAGCAUUUACUUUUAACAUAAACCUAAACAGAGCACUAUUAUAUUUAAUAACCUGCACAGGAGAGAUUUUGGAGUGACCCCGACAUUCCUUCACACCAGUGCCAUUCCAGUGAGUUGUAGACUCCCUGCCAAGGUACGCUGAAGCGCUUCUGGUGACUCAUGGUGGCUCGGCAUCUUACUAACAUACUAGUCGUUUGUCAUCUGGGUGUAGUAUUGCCUAACUAGUAGUAACGUUUACAGUGCAGAACUCUGAUGUAAUUUUUGCUUCUGUUAUCAUCAUAUUUCUGUUAUCAUCAAUACUCUGUUAUCAUAUCGUUGUGAAAGAUAUUGUUCAAAACAUAGUUUAUACCCCUCAGAGAGCAGAGGAAUUGGUCUAUAUCCAACUAUCUAUAGUUUACAUCCAAGUCAUCGGUCUCAUCCAGGACGGCGACGAGUCUGCUUACAGAUAAGAGGUUGAGCAGCUGGCUGUCUGGUGCGGUCACAACAACCUGGAGCUGAACACGCUCAAAACUGUGGAGCUGAUAGUGGUCUUCAGGAGAAACCCCCCUGCUCUCCCCCUUCUCACCAUCAUGGACAUCACUGUGGCUGCAGUGGAGUCAUUCAAGUUCCUGGGCACCACCAUCUUUCAGGACCUGAAGUGGGACAUUCACAUUGACUCCAUUGUGAAAAAGGCCCAGCAGAGGUUGUUCUUCCUUCGUCAACUGAAAAAGUUCAACCUGCCACAGGCGCAGAUGUGACAGUUUCACUCAGCUGUUAUUGAGUCGAUUCUGUGCUCUUCUAUAACUGCCUGGUUUGGGUCAGCCAGCAAAUCAGAUCUAAGAAGACUGCAAUGGACUGUUAGGACAGCAGAAAGGGUCAUUGGUGUGCACCUGCCCAAGCUUCAGGACUUGUACAACUCCAGAGUGAAGGAACAGGCAGCUAACAUCAUCACAGACCCCUCUCACCCCGGCCACAACCUGUUUGCACUCCUCCCUUCAGGCAGACGUUACAGAUCUCUGUGCACUAGAACAUCUAGGCAUAAAAACAGUUUUUUUCCCCAUGCCAUCUCCAGCUUAAACAGCUAACACAGGAAUCAUUACCUGUGUUCUGUCAUUCAUUUCUGUAAUUCAUCCUCCAUCUCUAAUUACUGCCUCUUUCUCAAGUAUUAUGUUAAUACAUAUGCAUACCUCUUUAUUUAUACAGCUGUAUAUAGAGUAAAUAAUGCACAUCUGUACAUAAAUCUUAUGUUCUGGAUUCAUACACAUUAUUAUUAUUAUUAUUUAUAUUUUUUUAUUGUUAAGUCUUACUAUUUAAAUGUUUUCUGUUCUCAUGUCAGAUAUGUAUGUAUGUAUGUAUGUACCAAAGAGCACCUUAAAAAACCACAACAACUUGGCGAAUAAAGCUAAUUCAGUUUCGGA